CGGAAGGCUCCGGAAGCCCAAGGGAGGGCAGGAGACAGGGAUUCUGAUUCUCCCCAGAGGGGCCCAGCGAGGCUACUCUGACAAGGCAACAGUUCCGUGCUCACUAUGGCCGUGUGAACAAGUCUGCCACCUGGGAUGUAAGGAGCAGCGUCCUUCAAAGGCUGGCUGGAGCAUGCCUGUGAUUGCUGGAGCUGGAGCAGCCAUCUUGGACCACGAGGCAGACGCCACAUGUUGAGGGUGACCGAGCAGCAGGAAGGAAGGAAGGGACCUGGGUUCUGAUGUUUAUGGAGCUGCCACAUCAGCCCUGGACUAGAUACCUCCGAGUGUUGCUUGCCUGGAAGAAAAAUAAACUUCUAUGUUGUUUAA